GGAUACAGCGUAUGGAAGGAAAGCCAAUCCUCUGAAUGCCGUUUUAGAUCCUCCUUGGCUGGCUUCUUGUGAUUAGUUUACUCUCUAAUAUUGCAUUUAUCAGUUGCAUAUUACACUGUAACUAUCAUCAUUUGCCCUUCGAAUCAUUUUUUAUCUUAAAAAAGCUAAUAUACCAACCCAAUCAGAACAUCUAGGAACAAAUAUUUGAAGAGUGUUCUAACAUCUUACAAACUGAAUCAUUAUAGCUUUUUCUUAUUGCUAUAGCACAUUAAUAUUUAAUUUAAUAGAAUAAUAUACUUACUGGUCAAAUGCUUUCCCCUUCUCCCCUUUCCACCAACUCCUGUACCUCAGUUUUGCAAAGGGUUUUUCCAUUAUAUAUAAUUCGUGGUUUUGCUUACCAGCUUUUUCACUUUUUUUUUUUAUUAACAUUUAUUUAUUUUUUGAGAGUCAGAGAGAGACAGAGCAUGAGCAGGGGAGGUACAGAGAGAGGGAGACACAGAAUUGGAAGCAGGUUCCAGGCUCUGAGCUGUCAGCACAGAGCCAGAUGCGGGGCUCGAACCCACAAACCGUGAGAUCAUGACCUGAGCCGAAGUCAGUUGCCCAACCAACUGAGCCACCCAGGGGCCCCUCCAGCUUUUUCACUUUAGCAACCUGAAAAGAUGACAUAUUCACUUUGUGUAAUAAUACAUAUUUGCUUCGUUAAAAAUUUUUUUUUAAUGUUUAUUGAUUUUUGAGAGAGACAGAGCAUGAGCAGGGGAGAGUCAGAGAGGGAGGGAGACACAGAAUCCCAAAACAGGUUCCAUGCUCUGAGCGGUCAGCACAGAGCACGAUGUGGGGCUCAAACUCACAAACCUGAGAUCAUGACCUGAGCCGAAGUCGGACGUUUAACCAGUUGAGCCACCCAGGUGACUCCCGUAUUUUCUUCUUUUAACAUACAUUUUUCAUGACGUGCCUUCAAAACCCUUUUAUAAGGCACUGUAUAAAUAAAUUCAGUGAAUGACCAUAAGCCUCUAAGUGUCUAGUGGGGAGGGCAAAGGUACUUCAAGGGAUCACUGAGUAAAGACAGUGAGGAGAGGUGAGGAGCUAAUGAGAGUGCAAUGCUGGUAGAAGUGGGUUCAGUUUUCCAGGCUAGAAAGGCAAAAGAGGCAUGACCCUCAUUCAAACGCUACUUCUUUGAUAAAGAACACCAUUGAUGUGUAUUGGAGGCAGUCUGAAGGCAAUAUCUCUGUACUGACAACUCUUACUGAAAUUCAAAUUUUAAGUUUUUCAAAAAGUGGUAGAACUGAGGAAAAUUUGAAUGGGACACCUACCAGUGGUAUUGAGCUUUGUCUUAGCCAGCCAUCUUUUGAGGCUUUAGAGUGUGAACUUCAGGAGGUACUGUGUCUUACUCUGACUUUUGUAUCAAGUCACAGUGCUUUAGAGAGAACUAGAGAGCAAUACACAAAUCUGUUCCUUUGAUAUUUUUAGUACAUUCAAGCAUAACAUAAAGAAUGUGGCUAUGCAUUAAAUUGUAGAAUUUGAAGCUAGAAAGGAUACUAGAAAUGACUUGUUACAACAUGUCAUUGUGUACUUUUAUUUUACUAGUGGAGAAGAUAAGACCCAAGAGGGCAAGCGUCUUAUUGGUGGUCCACAGGGAUUCAGAGCUCAAGUCAGGCACAAAGGAUUUGUCUUUUGUCACCCAGGGUGCUUGCAAACAACCUAGCUCUUCAUGCACUGAGCACCCUCUCCCCAUCCCUCCCCAACCCUAAUUCUCUACUCAUUUUAAGACAUAAAGUGAAUCUUUCCAUUCUGCACCAGAUUUUCAGCACAUUGAGCAUAACAUGCAGACUCCUUCCCUGACCUGAUCAUCUGGCACCUGCCUCCCUCCACCCCUCCUCUUCCACUUUCUCCCUCCUAGCUCAUCUCGCCCCAGCCACACUGCCUUCCUGCUGUUCCUCAAACAUGGAAAGCUCAUUUUCUCACUUUCUAUUGCCCUUGCUUAUAGUGUUCUUUCUUCCCAAAUCUUUUCCUGGCUUCUCUUUCUAAUCGUGUAUGCCUUGGGAGAAGUAUCACCCUCUUUGGGAGAAGUAGCCCUGUUUCCCCCCGUUUCCCUCUUAUUUUGCUUUAUUUUUGGCUAGGUGACAUUUGUUUAUUGCCAAAUUCCUGCACAGGAAUGCAAGCUCCAUGCAGGCAGAGACUUUGUCUUGUUCACCCCAGACUCUCAAAUGUGCCGAACAUGUCUGGCACGUAGAUGCUCAGUGAAUAUUCAUUGAGUGAACACAGGGGCAGGAGACCAAAUGCUGGUGGAUUGCACUGACUGGAGUUUGGUAGGUGAGCAUUUCAGGCCUCUUUGUGUUCCAUCAUCCUUAACUGCAAAGGAAGUUUGCGGCUCACAGGUCUGUGGGGAGAUCACACAAAUGGUGAGGGGAUAGAUGCAUGUUUGUGGUUGUUAUUGAUUGAUCUGUGCUCCUGAGGCACCAGGAAAGGCCAGGCCCUCUCGGGUGAUGCUACCUUUGAUGUCUUCCCUCUGCAGAGACAUGCCUUGCUCAGUGGGGGAAGAGGAGUGGACCACCGCCCCGGUUCCCCAGACCAUCACGAUACUCUUCCAAAGUGGCAACUGGACGAUGGAGAACCCCUCACCCGCCUGCCAGUGUAGCAGCGACAAAAUCAAGAAGAUGCUGCCUGUGUGUCCCCUGGGGGCAGGGGGGCUGCCUCCUCCACAAGAAGAGCAUGUCAGCGGACAUUCUUGUGUCCAUCUGUGUUGUCUUUGAAAUGUUCUUCAUCUCAGCCAGUUUUGUUGUGUUCCUGAUCCAUGAGCAGAUCAGUAAAGGGAAACUCCUGCAGUUCAUUAGCAGAUUGUAACCUGUCAUGUACUGGCUCUCCAAUUCUGCAUGGGAUAUGGUAAGAACACCUGUCUGCUGCUGCUUUCUAAAUCUCCAUCAGGGCUAUGGAUUGGAUGAAAGAGCCUUUGACUUUUCUAAAAGUGUUCUGGCUAAUCUAAAGAUGAAUGAAAAAGGGAAAGGCAGAAGCAGUUGCAUAUUUUCAUGACACAGAGCUGAUCUCAUGCCACAGAGAAAAUCUGUCUACACUGACUGCAACUAACAUUACUAUCACCCAAUUUCCUAGACUUUUCAAAGAAACAUUGAGGUAGAAGACUCUUAGUUACAACUCAAAACCAAUGCCUCUGACUUCUGAUAGGUUUUAACCUCCAGAGUUAGGGUGUUCUUUGCCUUACUAGGAAACUUAUUUGUCCUUUGAAUCCUUGAGGACCAGAUAAAUGAGAGGUGAGUAUGCUUCCUGCUUUUCCAUUUUCCCUCAGACAGCUAAUAAUUUACUGUGUUGUAUUUGCAAUAUGUGUUAGAAACAUAAAUUCAUAUAGCUGUAAAUAUAGACUACCAGGAGAGCUUGGAAGUACCAAAUCUAGUUUGAGAAGGCUUAAAUACUCAAGUAAAAUAAAAAUGAACAUUGUAAGAAAACCCUAGUAUAUCUGAGACAGUACUGAAGAAAUUCUCCUUGUAGAGCUAUUCGCAUGCUAAUUAUUUGAGGUAAGUUAACAUUUAAGUAUAUUUAUUACUGUCUCAUUACCUUAUAGCAACACAGUAGCUCCAGAUCAGAGGAUAAAAAUAUAAAACACAAUAAAAAACGAUCAGAAUGUAUCUGUAGGCGUUUAUUAGGGCAAACAUUUCCAUAACCAUAAAUAUUAUCACAAAUAGAUGUCCCAAGUAUCUUUGUUAAAUUGUGAUUCAAAAUGAAGUAAAAGUUAGUAAAAUAAAUUGUAAAUGAAGACAUUUUCAGCAUAUAAACCAAUGAGUCUUUAAAAAUUUUUCAUAUGAGGACCUAUUAACAUUAUUUUCCACAUAUGUAAUUAAUUAUUAAUGUAAAACAAAAUGAAUAGAGAUGAUAAUAUACUUUUCCAUAAUAAACAGGUUUAAUAUUUUUAUGAAUCCCAUUUGGUAUUACAAAAUAAGUUUUACUGGACAAAAACUUUUAAAAUCUCAGAAAAAUAGACAUGAAAAGGUUGAUAAUAUAUAUAAAUAACUUAAAAAUAUCAUAGGCAUGGAAAUGUAACAUAAUCAUUUCAAUAUAAGGAAAUGCUAUAAAAGUAGAGGCUGUAAACAUAGAGAACAAGAGAUAUUCUGAAAUAAAUGAAAAAUCAAGAUCUUGAAGGAAUGACAACUAUUUUUAAUAUACGACAGAUACUGAAAUGCCAAACGGAAAAUGAACAGAACUAUUUCCUCAAGAGGUCAUGACACUGGACAAAAGCAGCUUUUAAAAAUGCAGAGGGCACAGCAAAUUAACUUACCACCUCCUUGAAAUAAAAAUGAAAAUCUCUUGGGAGAAUUUAAGCACCAUUAGCAGACACAACUUAUAGCAGUUAAUGCAAUGCUUUGUAUUUCAGAGGAAAAUUAUUUCAAUGGGGAAAAUGACGUAGGAAUCAGAAGCAUAUUUUGCUGAGACUCAAGGAAGUUAACACUUUCCCGAACUGGAAAAAAAAACAUUUUAUAAUGUUGGAAAGUUAUAAAGUUAAAAAGUGAAUCAAAUUUGUUGUACAAAUAAUUCAUGCCUAGUGAAAUAGCUUACCAGCUGCCACAACUCUGGGAUCCUCAUGAGACUGAUGUCUCCCAGCUGCACGACUAUCUGCACUCUCAUUCCACCAAAGAACAUGAACUGCAGAAAUAACCAAAAAUAGAUUCUAAAGACUAUAGCAUUACUACAAUAAAUACAGAAAAAUUAAUCAGAAACAUUAAGUCUUAUUCUUUAAAUCAAAAUAGUAAAUAUCAAAAAGGUAAAACUGAGUAUGUUAGUGAUAAGAUUUCAGAGGGGUCAGUGAUUUGGGAGGUAAAUUUAUAAAUUACUUAAUCAAACUUUUUAUAGAUGAAGAAACAGAUGGUUGGAGAGAAAAAGUUAGUAAAACCACUAAAGACACAAUUAAGUCUAGAACCAAGCCUGUGACUUCCUAAUAUAUUUUAGUUUAUUAAAAAAAGCAAGAUUAUAUAAGAAUUAUAUUUACUACUGGAAAUUUGGAUGAUACAAAGAAGAAAAUUAAAAGCAUAAUUUGAACCACCUAGAGAGAAACUCUAUUGCUAUUUAGUGCAUUUCCUUUAAACAAAUGAAUAAAAUAAAAAAUGCAUAUUUUCCAUGGCAGUAAUCUUAAUUUUUAAUGGCUAUGUGAAUUCCUCCUUAUAGAUAUAACAACUUUUUAUCCAAACUUCUUAUUAUUGACCAAUCAGAUUAAUUCCAAUAUUUAAAUUUUUUGAAUUAUGGAAUGUUUUUGUGCAUAAUGUUUUACAAGUUUUUAAUAACUAUAAUAUAGGACAUGUUAGCUCUAUAGGAAAAUGCGGAUAAAAAGAGAAAAGAGUAAUCAUUUCUAUACCACCUAGGGAAAAAACCCACUUUUUUGCUGCAUCUCUUUCCAUAUUUAUGUAUAUAUGUAUCUAUUUUUAUGGAUAUAUUUUAUACACACAUAAACAUACAAAUUUAUGGUUAUAUAAAUACAUGAUGAAAUGUACUUUUUUCUGGAUUAUAUGUGUUAUUACAUAAAAAAUGUUUUUUUGUAAAUAAUACUGAUACAAACAUCAUUAGAGUAGCAUCUACAUGUAUAUCUGUAAUGAUAAUGCUGAUGACAACUCAUACCAAUAUUUAUUCAUUGUUUACUAUGUGCUAGACCUGGUUUUAAGCAUUUUGCAUGUAUUAACUCAUUUAGUCUUCAUAAUAAUUUUAUAUAGAUUACUAUUAUCAUCACUUUAUGGGUGAGGAAACUAAGGCACAAUGAGGUUAAGUAACUUACCUAGGGUCACAAAGUUAUAAGUGGUGAAGCUGGGAUUCAAACCCAGGCAGUCUGGAUCUGAUUAUUUUCUUAAUAUAAACUCCUAAAAUUUAAAUUGAGAGAACCAAAGAGUAUAUCUUAUACAUACACACUCAUAAAUAUACAGUGUAUAUAUUAUACACUGUCCUCCAGAAAUGAAGUAUUGAUUUAUACUCAGCAUAUUACUAUUCUCCUAGUACACUAGGAAUAAAUUUAAGAUUAAAAAGUGUGUGUGCACACAUAUUUUCAUUAUUUUUUUUCUUAUAAAAGUGAUACAUGUCCAUUAUAGUAAAUUAGAGACUUAAAAGACCUUUAAUCUCAUCAUUUAAAUAUGACUAUAUAUUUUAUGUCCUUUCAAAUUCCCUUCUUGUAUAACUAAACACACCUACAUAUCCAUGCAUAUUUCCUUAACAUUGGCAAAAACAAUUUAAAAAAUUAAGGCUUUUUGCCCAAGGCAGCCCCAACUUGCCUCUUAACACCGGGACCAAACCCUGCCCACAAUAGGCAAAGAGAGCCAUUUCAGACAACUGGACUAAAGGCAGAUGUGGCUCAGCCACAACAGUAAGGUGCAUGCAACACAUACAGAAGAUACCCUUGAAGGGAAAUUGCACUGCAGGGCACUACAGGACCUCUUCUUCAUAAGGCCACUACUUGCAAAAGCAGGAGAUGUAGCUUACUUUCCUAACACACAUAAACAGACACAGAGAGUUAGACAAAAUGAAGGCAUAGAAGAAUAUAUCUCAAAUGAAAGAAGAGGACAAACUCACAGCAAGAGAGCUAAAUGAAACAGAUAAGCAAUAUGCCUGAUAGAGAAUUUAAAGUAAUGAUCAUAAAUAUACUCACUGGACUUGAGAAAAGAGUAGAGGAUCUCCGUGAAACCCUCAAAAAAGAGAGAGAAAAUAUAAAAAAGAACCAGUGAAAGAUGAAGAACUCAAUAAGUGAAAUUAAAAAUACACUAGAGGGAAUAAAUAGUAGAUUAGAGGAAGCAGAAGAAUGGAUCAGUGAUCUAAAAGACAGUAAUGGAAAGCAAUCAAGCUAAACAGGAGAAAGAAAAAAGAUUAACAAAAAUGCGAGAACAGGUUAAGGGAACUCAGCAAUACCAUCAAGUAUAAUAAUAUUAACAUUAUAGGGAUCCCAGAAGAAGAGAGAUAAAAGGGGUAACACAUUUAUUUGAAGAACUAAUAGCUGAAAACUUCCUAAAUCUGGAGAGGGAAACAAAUCUAGAGUCCUAACACACAGAGAGCCACCAACAAUAUCAACCCAAGGAGGUCCACACCAAGACACAAGGUAAUUAAAAUGGCAAAAAAGUACUGAUAAAGAGAAAAAUGUAAAAGCAUCAAAAGAAAAGAAAAUAGUUACAUAUGAGAGAAACUCCAUAAGGCUACCAGCUGAUUUUUCAGCAGAAACUUUGCAGGCUAGAAAGGAAUGGCAUGAUAUAUUCAAAGUGCUGAAAGGAAAAAAACUGAAACUGAGAAUACUCUAUGCAGCAAGGCCAUCAUUCAGAAUAGGAGAGAUAGUUUCUCAGGUAAACAAAAAUUAAAGGAGUUCAUCAACCACUAAACCGGGAUUACAAGAAAUAUUAAAGGGGAUUCUUUAAGUGGAAAAGAAAAACCAAAAGCAGGAGUAAGAAAAUGAGGAAAGGAAAAAAUUUCACAGGUGCAUAUAAACAUAAUAAAAGUAGAUUAAUCACUUAUAAAACAGUACGGAGGUUAAAACACAAAGCAGUAAAAUCAAGUAUAUCUAUAAAUAUCAGUCAAGAGAUUAAUAAAGGGAUGUAAAGUAUGACAUCAUAUACCUAAAACAUAGAGGGAAGGGGAGUAAAAAUUUAGUGUUUUUAGAAUGGGUUCAAACUUAAGGGACCAUCACCUUAAUAUAGACUGUUAUAUGCAUAAAUGUAUAUAUAAACCUAAUGGUGACCACAAAUAAAAAAACUGGUAAUAGAUAUGCAAAAAAUAUACAGAAAGGAAUCCAGGUAUAUUACUAAAGAAAGCCAUCAAACCACAAAAGAAGAGAGCAAGAGAAGAAAGGGACAGAGAAUAACACCACAGAACAAGUAACAAAAUGGCAAUAAGUACAGACCUGUCAAUAAUUACUUUGAAUGUAAAUGAAUGAAAUGCUCCAAUCAGGGUAACUGAAUGGAUAAAAGGGGAAGAUAUUUAUAUGCUGUUUACAGAGAUUCAUUUCAGACCAAAAGACACAUGCAGAUUGAAAGUGAAGAGAUGGGAAAACAUUUAUCAUGCAGAUGAAAAGAAAACUGGGAUAGCAAUACUUGUAUCAGGCAACACUGGAAGACAUAAAGAAGAACAUAAUCAUAAAGGGAACAAUCCAACAAGAAGAUAUAAAACUUGUAAAUACUUAUGCAAAUUACAUGGGAUUACCCAAAUACAUAAAGCAGCUAUUAACAAACAUAAAGGAAAUAAUCAGUAGUAAUUCAAUAAUAGUAAAGGACUUUAACACCCCACUUACAUCAAUAGAUAGAUCACCCAAAGAGAAAAUCAACAUGUUAACAGUGGCUUUGAAUGACACAUUGGACCAGAUUAACAGAUACAUUCAGAACCCCCCAUCCUAAAAACAGUGGGAUACACAUUCUUUCAAGUGCACACGAAACAUUCUCUGGAAGAGAUCAUACGUUAGGCCACAAAACAAGUCUCAACAAAUUAAAAAAAAAAUACUAAAGUCAUACCACGCAUCUUUCCCAACCACAACACUAAGAAACUAGAAAUCACAAGAAAAAAUAUGUAAAGACCACAAACACAUGGAGGUUAAAUAACAUGCUACCAAACAAUGAAUGGGUCAACCAAGAAAUCAAAGUGGAAGUAAAAAAAUACAUGGAGGUAAAUGAAGAUGAAAACACAACAGUCCAAAAUCUUUGGGAUGUAGCAAAAGCUGUUCUAGGAGGGAAGUUUAUAGUAAUACAGGUCUACUCAAGAAGCAAGGAAAAUUUCAAACUCCUGAACCUUACACCUAAAAGAGCUAGAAGAAAAAGAACAAACAAAACCCCCAAACAGUAGAAGUAAAUACUAAAAAUUAGAGCAGAAAUAAAUGAAAUAGAACCACAAAAACAAUAGAACUGAUCAAUGAAACCCAGAGCUAGUUCUUUGAAGAGAACAACAAAUUUGAUAAACUUUUACCCAGACUGUUCAAAAACAGAGAGAGAGAGAGAGAGAGAGGAUCAAAUAAACAAAAUCAGAAAUGAAAGGGGAGAAAUAACCACCAAAAACACAGAAAUAGAAAGGGUUAGUCAGAAAAUAUUAUGAAAAAUUAUAUGCUAACAAACUGGGCAACCUAGAAGAAAUGGAUAAAAUCCUAGAAACAUUAAGACUUCCCAAAAAUGAUUCAGGAAGAAACAAAAUUUAAAGACUGUACAAGCAAUGUAAUUGAAUCACUAAUCAAAAAACUCCCAAGAAACAGAAGUCCAGGACCAGAUGGCUACACAGGUGAAUUCUACUAAACAUUUAAAGAAGAGUUAAUGCCUAUUAUUCUCAAACUAUUCCAAAAAGUAGAAGAGGAAAGAAAGCUUCCAAAUUCAUUCUAUGAAGCCAGCAUUACCCUGACACCAAAACUAGAUAGACACUACAAAAAAGAGAACUAUAGGCCAAUAUCUCUGAUGAACAUAGAUGCAAAGAUCUGUAACAAAAUAUGAGCAAACUGAAUCCAACAAUAUAUAAAGAAAUCAUUUACAUUCAUCAAGUAGGAUUUAUUCCUGAGAUGCAAGCGUAGUUCAAUAUUUGCAAAGCAAUCAACAUGAUACAUCACAUCAAUAAUGGAAAGGAUAAAAACCAUAUGAUCAUUUCAGCAGAUCUAGAAAAUGCAUUUGACAAGGACAACAUCCAUUCAUGAUAAAAACCCUCCUUAAAAAGUAGGUGUAGAGAGAACAUACCUCAACAUAAUAGAGGCCAUAUAUGAAAAACCCACAGCUAACAUCAUACUCGAUGAAAAACAGACCUUUUCCACUAUGGUCAGGAACAAGACAAGAAUGUCCACCAAUUUUAUUCAACAUAGUAGUGGAAGUCCUAGCUACAGCAAUCAGACAAGGAAAAGAAAUAGAAAGCAUCUAAAUUGGUAAAGAAGAAGCAAAACUUUCACUAUUUGCAGGUGACAUGGUACUAUAUAUAGAAAACCCUAAAGACUCCACCAAAAACUACUGGAACUGAAAAAUGAAUUAAGUAAAGUUGCAGGAUACAAAAUCAAUAUACAGAAAUCCAUUUCAUUUCUACACAUAAAAAAGUAGCAAAAAGAGAAAUUAAGAAAAAUAUCCCAUUUACAAUUGCAUCAAAAAUAAUAAAAUACGUAGAAUAAACUUAACCAAGGAGGUGAAAGACCUGUACUGUGAAAACUAUAAAACACCAAUGAAAGAAGUUGAAGAUUAUACAAACAAAUGGAAGGAUAUUCCAUGCUUAUGGAUUGGGAGAACCAAUACUGUUAAAACAUCCAUACUACCCAAAGCAAUCUGCAGAUUUAAUGCAAUCCUAUAAAAAUACCAAUAGCAUUUUUCACAGAACUAGAACAAAUAAUCCUAAAGUUUGUAUGGAACCACAAAAAAUCCUGAAUAGCAAAAGUAAUCUUGAAAAAAAAGAACAAAACUGGAGGCAUCAUAAUCCCAGAUUUACUAGAAAUCUGUAGUAAUCAAAACAGUGUGGUACUGGCACAAAAACAGAAAAUAGAUCUAUAGAUCAGUGGAACAGAAUACAGAGCCUCGAAAUAAACCCACGAUUAUACUGUCAAUUAAUCUUUGACAAAAGAGGCAAAAAAAAAAAAAGACUUUUUAACAAAUGGUAUUGGGAAAACUGGAUAGCUACAUACAAAGAAUGAAACUGGACGACUUUGUUUCACUAUACACAAAAAUAAACUCAAAAUGGAUUAAAGACCUAAAUAUGAGACCUGAUACCAUAAAAGUCCCAGGGGAAAACACAGGCAGUAGUUUCUUUGACAUUAGCCAUAGCAACAUCUUUCUUGAUAUGUCUCCUAAAGCAAAAGAAACAGCAAAAAUAAACUAUUGGGACUACAUCAAAAUAAAAGCUUUUAAAUAGCAAAGGAAACCAUCAUCAAUACUAAAUACAACCUACUGAAUGGAAGAAUAUAUUUGCAAAUGAAAAAUCUGAUAAAAGGUUAAUAUCCAAAAUCUAUAAAGAAGCUAUACAACUCAAUACCCCAAAAACAAAUAAUCCAAUUUAAAAAUGGGUAGAAGAUAUGAAUAGACAUUUCUCCAAAGAAGACACCCAGAUGGCCAAUGGACACAUGAAAAGAUGCUCAACAUCAUUCAUCAUCAGGGAAAAGCAAAUCAAAACUACAAUGAGAUAUCACCUCACAUCUGUUAGAAUGGCUAAAAUCAAAAACAAAAGAAACAACAAGUGUUGGCAAGGAUAUGGAGAAAAAGGAACCAUCAUGGACCAUUUGUAGGAAUGCAUAUUGGUGCAGCCACUGUGGAAAAAGUAUGAAGGUUCCUCAAAAAAUUAAAAAUAGAAUUACCAUAGGAUACAGUAAUUCCACUACUGGGUAUUUACCCAAAGAAUAUGAAAGCAUGAAUUUGUAAAGGUUUAUGCACCCCAUGUUUAUUGCAGCAUAAAUUACAUAGUCAAGAUAUGGAAGCAGCAGACCAAGUGUCCAUUGAUAGAUGAAUGGAUAAAGAAGAUGUGGUAUGUAUAUACAAUGGAAUAUUACUCAGCCAUAAAAGGAAUGAGAUCUUGCCAUUUGCAAACAUAUGGAUGGAUCUAGAGGGUAUAAUGCUAUGUGAAAUAAGUUAAUCAGAGAAAAACAAAUACCACAUGAUUUCACUCAUAGUGGAAUUUAAGAAAACAAAUGAACAAAGAAAAAAAGUGAUGAAAAACAAAUUCUUAAAUAUAGAGAACAAACUGGUGGUUGCCAGAGAGAAGGUGGGUAGAGGGAUGGGUGAAAUAGGUGAAGUGGAUUAAGAGUACACUUAUCAUGAUGAGUUCUGAGUAAUGCACAGGAUUGUUGAAUCACUAUAUUAUACACCUGAAACUAAUAUAACACUGUAUGUUACUUAUACUGAAAUAAAAAAAAUAAUGUCAAAGAACCAAGCCUUUUUAUUUAUGUUGCCAGGUUUUUUUGAGGGAAGAUGAAGUAGUUACAAAUCCUACAAGUAGAACUCAUUUUUUUCUGACCUAGGUUAUACUCUACCUGUAUAAUGUAUCUUUAUUAGGUAAAAACUGGCAUCUUAUGAGGUGCCUAGGUAGCUCAGUUGGUUAAGUAUCCGACUUCUGCUCAGGUUAUGGUCUCACAGUUCAUGGGUUUGAGCCCCACAUUGGGCUCUGUGCUGACAGCUCGGAGCCUGGAGUCUACUUCAGAUUCUGUGUCUCCCUUUCUCUCUGCCCCUCCCCUGCUCAUGCUCUGUCUCUCUCUCUCUCUCUCUCGCUCUCUCUCAAAAAUAAACAUUAAAAAAGAAUUAAAGCAUCUUAUUUUGUUUUAAUCUGCAUCUUCUUUAACAUAUUUUUAGGAGUCAUCUGUGUCUACCUUUGCAGAAUAUUUUUUGCUCUUGGAUUUCAUUUAAGGUGUUUUGGGAGGAACUAAGUUUGAGCUUUGUAUAAUAAAAUCAUCAAUUUAUUCUUUUUUUCCUUCAUAGUUUCUUCAUUUGCUUUUUGGCUUAGAAAUACUGUUUCUAUACAUGUCAUUAAAUAAAUUUAUCUAUAUUUUGUUUUAUUAGUUGUAUGAAUUCAUCAGUUUGCCACAAGAAAACUCUCUGAAAUUCUGACUGGAAUAUCUUUUGACUUUAAACAUUAAAUAUCCCAAAUAGACAUUUUAUUAAAUAAAUUAAUAAAUCAUUUACUUAUAUCUUAUAUAUACUAUAAAUAUAUCUAAGUAGUGGAAAUGGGUAAUUUUUUUCUUUGGGCUUGUCUAUGUUUUUAAUAUUUAUAAUAACUACAUAGUACUUUUUCACCCAGAAAUAAUCUCUACCCCAAGUAAUGUUAUUUAAAAAAAAUCACAAAAAGCAGACUUCCAGUUAUAAGAUAUUAAAUAAGUUUUGGGGAUGUAAUACACAACAUGAUGACUAUAGGUAACACUCCUGUAUUGUAUAUUUGAAAGCUGAUAAUAGAGUAUAUCUUAAAAGUUGUCAUCAGAAGGAAAAACAAUUUGUAACUGAGGUGAUGGAUGUUAACUAAACAUACUGUGGUGACCAUUUCACAAUAUAUACAGAUAACAGAUCAUUAAACUUGUAACAUGUUAUAUCAAUUAUAUCUCAAUAAAACUGGGAAAAAAGGAAAAAUCAUUAAAAGUACAUUCAGAGGAAAAUAACAUAACAGAAAUAGGUAACUUUUUCAGGUUCCUUUCAAUUUUUAAAAUUUUAUCAUUUUGAUGUAUCAGGGAAAAGAGCAGUUCUGUAUUUGAAAAAAAAAACUUUAUAAGGUGAAUAACAUUCCAAAUAAAUGUAAAACAGGUUUGCUCAACCCUUAAAUUUACAAAAAGCUAAAAACUGGGCAAUAAAAAAUGAAAUAUAAUCCACAAUGAGAACAGAGACAAAUUGACCAAACGAACUUAAUGUGGAUCACCAAUAUAUUUUGCAAUUUCAUGGAAGAAAUGGACAACUGUACCUCUGUUGAGUACUCCAUAUUCUGCAUGGAACACUCCAACUAGUUUUGUGUAGCCUCGAUUGACAUGCGUAUGAACUGCCCUUUUAAAUGGGUCACCCCACAGAGCUGGCCCACCAGGUUUCAUCUGAAAUGUAGCUAGUUCAUAGACUCCUAGAAUAGGGAGAAAAAUAAUUAUUUUAUCGAACAUAUUCAAGAAAUUUCUAAUCAUGUUUAGUUUGGUUCCAGUGCAAGGAUAACUACACAAAUAGAUUUUGAGGAUCAUACCCAUAUACAUGUUCAUGUAGACAUAAUUUAUUAAUAAUUUGCAUUGUUUUUCUUUGCUUUUAUGUUUAGUCAGUCUUGGUCCCACUUAAAGGGUCAGUCAUUAAACUUAGUAUACAGAACAAACCAAAAUGGAUGGACUCUAUAGGUAAGGUAUUAUCUAAGCUAUUUUUAAUUUACAGAAAUUGUCAAUAAAAGUGAAAAUUUAUAAUGGAAUAGGAUAUUUCUAGUUGUCUAAGUCUGUACUUUAUAAAGUAAAUGAAAAAGGAAGUAUUUCUAGUCUCUUAUAGUUCCAUUUUUCUUUCCAAUUUUCAAUACUUUUCUCUUUAUAUAAGUUCCCCUUAUAGGAUUCCUUUUCUAACAGGAGCAGCAAGCAAGUAAUGAGCCUGAAGUGAUUGUCUUAGAAUUCUGAGGAAAAAAAUAAUUCUAAAGGAGAUGGUUUUACUAUUCCCAAAUAUCCAGGUACUUUUUCAUGAGAAUUUUCUCCUAAGAAGCCCCUGGGGCAAUUUCUUUACCCCCAAACUACAACUAGGAUCCUGUUGUCCAGUUGCUGUGUCUGGGAUUUCCAAUUCUGUGUUGAAUAAAAGUGAUGAGAGUGGACAUCCUUGUCUUGUUCCUGAUCUUAGAAAAGCUCUCUGCUGUUCCCUAUUAAGGAUUAUGUCAGCUGUGAGUUUUUAAUAUAUGGCCAUUAUUAGGUUGAGAUUUGUUCCCUCUAAACCUACUUUGUUGAGGGUUUUUAUCAUGAAUAGAUGUUGUACUUUGUCAAAUGUUUUUUAUACAUCUAUUGAAAUGAUCAUAUGGUUUUUAUCCUUUCUCUUAUUUAUGUGACAUACUACUUUCAUUGUUUUCCAAGUAUUGAACCAUCCACCCUUGCAUCCUGGAAUACAUCUCACUUGAUCAUGGUGUAUGAUUAUUUUAAUGUAGUGUUGGAUUCAGUUUGCUAAUAUUUUGUUGAGGAUUUUUGCAUCUAUAGUCAGGAUAAUUUUUUUUAAUGUUUAUUUCUUUUUGAGAGAGAGACAGAGAACGAGCAGGGGAGGGGUAGAGAGAGAGAGAGAGAGAGACAGACAGACAGACAGAAUCUAAGCAGUAUCUGAAGCAGGAUCCGAAGCAGGAUCCAGGCUCUGAGCUGUCAGCACAGAACCCAAUGCAGGGCUCAAACUCACAAAUGGUGAGAUCACGACCUGAGCUGAAGCUGGAUGCUUAACCGACUGAGCCACCCAGGCGCCUCCAUAGUCAUGAUAAAUAUUGACAGUAGUAUUCUUUGUUUGGUGUCUUUAUCCAGUUUUGGUACCAGGGUGAUACUGGUCUCAUAGAAUGAAUUCAGAGAUUUUCCUUCCUCUUCUCUCCUCCCCCUUCUUUUUUUUUAAGUUUACUUAUAUAUUUUGGGAGAGAGAGAGAAUGAGCUGGGGAGGGACAGAGAGAGAGGGAGACAGAGUAUCCGAAGCGGGCUCUGUGCUGACAGCAGAGAGCCUGUUGUGGGGUUCAAACUCAUGAGCCGUGAGAUCAUGAUGGACGCUCAACUGACUGAGCCACCCAGGUGCCCCUUUUUCCUCUUCUAUUUUUUGGAUUAGUUUGAGAAGAAUCAGCAUUAACUCCUUGAAAUAUUUGGUAGAAUUUUCCUGUGAAGCAGUCUGGUCCUGGACUUUUGUUUUUUGGGAGUUUUUCUGGUUGCUGAUUCAAUUUCUUUGCUGGUAAUUGGUCUGCUCACAUUUUCUAUUUCUUCUUUAGUUUUGUUAGGUUGUAUGUUUCUAGGAAUAUCCAUUUCUUCUAAGUUGUCCAAUUUGUUACCAUAUAGAUUUUCAUAAUAUUCUCUUUCAAUUGUAUUUCUGUGGUGUUGGUUGUUAUUUCUUUUCUUUCAUUGGUGAUUUUAUUUAUUUAGGUUUUCUCUCUCUCUUUUUCAUGUGUGGCUAGAGGUUUAUCAAUUUUAUUGGCCUUUUCAAGAACUAGCUCUUGAUUUCAUCAAUCUGUUCUAUUGUGUUUUUUUUGUUGUUGUUGUUUGUUGUUGUUUCUAUAUCAUUUAUUUCUACUCUAAUCUUUAUUAUUUCCUUCCUUUUGCUGGGUUUGAGUUUUUUUUUUUUUUCUGCUCCUUUAGGUGUAAGGUUAUGUUGUUCAUUUGUGAUUUUUCUUGCUUUUUGAGUUAAGCCUCUUUUGCUAUAAACUUCCAUUAGAAACACUUUUACUACAUCCCAAAGAUUUCGGAUUGUUGUGUUUUCAUUUUUAUUUGUUUCCUUGUAAUUUUGAUUUCUUCUUUGAUUUCUUGGUUGACCCAUUCACUCAUUGUUUAGUAGCAUGUUAUUUAACCUCCAUGUAUUUGUGCUCUUUCCAGAUUUUUUUCUUGUGAUUGAUUUCUUGAUUCAUAGCAUUGUUGUCAGAUAAGAUUCAUGGUAUGACUUUGAUUUUUUUUUGAGUUUGUUGAGACUACCAUUUAUUUUUAAAAGAUCUGUGAUCUGUAAGGUACUUUUAGAUUUGGAUUGGAAAAUAGCCUCUAAACAGCAUUUAAAAUAUAAUAUUUUUCUGUGACUGUUUUUUUACAUAUCCCUAAAAUGCCUGAAAAAUAUAUAGGUUAAGCAUUUUGAACAUUAUUAGAUAUCCUAAACUUCUGAUAAAAAGUUCAAAGGACAGGUAGUUCAAAGAUAGAGGAGUCCAACCAGAAUAACUGGAUUUUUAAAAUAGGCUAAUGUGAUAUAGGGCAACUACUUAGUUAUUUAGAUUGGAUGGACAGACAUGACAUAAGGAGGUAACAUGAAGCCUUUAACAUAGGUACACAAGUAUAUUUCAUGUAUCUGUACACUUUAAAAAAAUAAUAAAAUGAACAUCUGUGCUCCUGCCACCAAGCUCAGGGGAUAAAAUAUUUAUAGUAACCUAGAAGCUCAUUACAUGUUCUUUCAUGGUACCAUUUUCCCUAGAACACCCUCCCUGAUCUCCCUGAAGUAACUAUGAUCUUGAAUUUUGUGUUAAUCAUUACACUGAUUUUCUUUAAAGUUUACGUUUGUAAAUAAGACUAUACAAUGUAUUGUUUUGGUUGGUCUAUUUUAGAAAUUUCUUUAAAUGGAAUCAGAUUAUUUUUAUUAUUUUGUUACAUAACUCUUAGAUUUAACUUUAGGCUUUUGAAAAUCACCCAUGUUAAUAUAGUUGUAGUAAUUUAUUUCUCCUGUAUACUAUUCUAUACCUUAAUUUAUUUGUCCAUUUGACUAUAUGGGCAAAGCUGUUUGACUCUGUGGAUGUCUCCUGGUUCCAAUGAAAGUAUUUCUUCAAGGCAGACAUUCUAAGCCUUUUUUGUGUUUUAAAACCCUUUGGAAAUCUUGUGAGUCUAUGGUCUCCAGGUGUUUUUAAAGGUAUAACAAAUGAAUAGGGUUACAAAGAAAUUGCAAAGAAGCGUGCAAAGAAAACAAAUUGAACUAGAGUCAUUAAGAUACACUUGAAAAUUGUUGAGAGAGUAGAUUUGAAAAGUUCUCAGGGCACCUGGGUGAUUCAGUCAGUUGAGCAUCUGACUCGUGAUUUUGGCUCAGGUCAUGAUUUCAUGGUUCUUGAGUUUGACUCCUGCAUUGGGCUCCACACUGACAAUGCAGCCUGCUUGGGAUUCUGUCUCCCUCUUGUUCUGCCCUUUCCCUGAUGACAAUGUGUCUCUCUCCCAAAAUAAAUAAACUUUAAAAAAAAGUUCUCAACACACACAUACCUACAAAGGUAAUCAUGUGAGGUGAUGAAUAUGUUAACCUUACUGUGGUAAUCAUUUUGCAGUAUAUAUGUAUAUUAAACCAUCUCAUUGUAACCUUAAACUUAUACAAUAUUAUAUGUCAUUAUAUGUCAAAAAUCUGGAAAACAUAAAAGCAAAUCUUCAAAAAGAAAUAGACAUACUUGUUUAUUAGGAUACUAAAUUGCAAGGUCUUUCAGUAUAUAUGAGAUAUAACUUUGAAUUAAUGAUAAGCAUAUAAGAAAUUUUGAUCUGUUAAUGUAAUUGGUAAUAUCUAUGAUUUUUAUUGGUUACAAAGUCUCCAGUCUUGCUAAUAAUAUUGUGAUUUGUUGCCUGCAUUUCAUAUUCAAAGGAAAUGCUUAUUUUCAGUUAGAAGUAGGUGGUAUUAAAUGUGUAAUUUUUUUUCAUUCAAGUUACCAUACUCUGUGAAUUCUAUACCUAGAACCCUUGGGGAUCUGUGUACUGGAAAUUAUGAACCACUGUUCUAGUUUAUAUACCUAGGAGUGGAAUUGUCAUAAGAUAUGAACAUGUUUAUUUUUACUAAACAGUACAAGACAAACUCUUUUACAAGUUUAUACCAUAAUCGCAGCAUAUGAGUUUUUUCUGACCAAUUUUUAAAUUAUUGCCCAUUUGUUUUAAUGAAUGUAACCAAUAGGAAUCAGUUAAAGGGUGGAGGAAAUUAUAUGAGGUGGGCAAAGGCAACAAUCCACAUGAUGGUGUUCCUGCGUGAUUUUGUCCAAAGGUCAGGUUCGUGCAGAUCUGCAGUAGGAAGCAGAAAUGGAUCCAGUGCUGUCUCAACUGAGUAGGAGGGCAGUAGCUCUGCAUGUAGACUCCAUGCUUUUAUUGUGGGGACGUUCCUGGAGACGUGUUGAGUAAGAAGUUGCUGUGGGAAAGAUCCAAGAGGUUUUUGCCUCCUGUCUCCUUGAGGAUUUUGAUGGCUUCCUGUCUUACAUUGAGACCACAAGGCCUGUGACAUUAUGGUUCCUCAGUGGUGAUACCUUCAGAUAUUCAUCAACCUCAUGGAAAAUUUUGUACAAUUGGCUGCAAAUAGAAGAUCAAGCAAAACAAUCUGCUGUGCAUUGCAACCUAGGGGGUGAAUCAAUCUUCCAUUUAGAGACAGAGACAGAGCACGAGCAGGGCAGAGGCAGAGAGAGAGACACACACACAGAAUCCAAAGCAGGCUCCAGGCUCUAAGCUGUCAGCACUGAGCCCGAUGUGGGGCUCGAACUCAAGAACCGUGAGCUCUGACCUGAGCCAAAGUUGGACGCCUAACCAACUGAGCAACCCAGGCGCCCCAGACUUUUUAUCUUUAAAGAAGACCUACCAAUUUAAAAAAUGUGUGGAUGGGCAUUCAGGAUUUGGAAAGAAAACUAAAGUGGAUGUGACUGAUCUUGGAAUCCAGAAAUACUCCUCUGUCCUCUGAGGCACAAGAGUGGCAAGAACUAUGGAGAAGGAGUCCUUGGAAUUUGGACAUGCAGCUCAGCAGGCCCAGAAGCCUUCUUCUGCACCAGCACAACUCCUUCUUCUGGACUCAGUGUCUAACACCAGGAUACCCCAGAUGAGGAGAUUCCAGCUGAGGGAAGUCUAAGCAUCACCCUAGAGAGACCAGGAGCAGACUUCUGAGGACCGCCUGUUCUCCGAGGGGAGUUGCUCACAGGAAGGGCUAUUUUCCCCUGAUGAACCAAUUGUGAAUUAAAUAUCCAGUAGCUCAAGAAGAUUUGAAACUAACUCCCACAGAGUACAAACUACCAAAUAGCAAUUCACAGGUAUAUCUAGGUCUUCAGGGGAUGCCCAACCAUACUUAGGACUGACCUGAGUGCAGCUACUUCCCCAGAGAAAAAAGCUUCUACUUUGGAACCGCCACCAACAAUCAGGCCCCGGAAUUCCUUGUCCUGCAGGACUGAGGAUGGAGUAUCAAAACCCAAAAAGGUUCAAAGUCCCCCCCAAGAGUCUCUGAAGUGAUGUGCAGGAAGAAAAUGUUACAACAUCUGUUUACAUCCAUUCGUAUUCAAUAGACUAAAAAGCAAUACAGUUUAAUAAUACAUGAUAUGUGAUUGGCAGUGGUAUCCCCACUUGGUCCAUGUGUAACUUAAGGUAAAAGUGUGCCCUGAUGGGAGAAGAUACAUUCCACAACUUAAAGGGGUCAACAGCUGCACCCCUACACACCUCUUUAAGCUCAUAGUGUGGUUCAUAUGCUUGGUUAUGUUUGUUUAUGAAUUUGGUAUCAUAACAAGUAGACUCUAAUGCUUAAAUUUGUAAUGACAUAGGUGUGACCAUAGAAACCCAUUUUAUGUAUUUUGUUUUGUUUUGUUUUGUUUUGUGCAACAUAGUUGUCUUAUUAUCUUUUGGCAAAGAAGCUAAAAGAGUAACAGUGUUCUUUCACUAAAUGACAAGUACUCCAAAUUUGGUGACCUUUUCUGUCAUGACAAGUAACUGUCGAUAGAUGCCACCUAACAGAGAUCCUCAAAAAAGAUAAAGACACUUAUUGUCUCCUUUCAAGGUAAAGGUGACAUUCUAACAAUGAGUGAAAAAGUAACUGGUUUUUGUUUUGUUUUCUUUUAUUUUUAAUCCUGUAUGGGAAAAGAAUGUUGAAAAAUGGAUGUUUGUAGGUGUUUAUAUCAUUGUCAAAAAUGAUGUCUCAGACAUAAAUUUCUAUCUUACACUGAAACAGAAUUCUCUAACCUAUUUUGAGAUCUUCCAAAUGAAGCGUUUCAGUGGUUUUUGAAACCAUUUGAUAAAAAAUUUUAAGAAAGAAAAUCCCUUCUGACUACAUUACAAAAAAAUCGAUUUUGACAUCAGGGAAAGGGAGAAUUGAUUAAUUUUAACAAUAAAAUUGAAUGAGAAAUGUUGUGAAUGGGAUUAAGAAAUUAAUAUGAUUUAGAAAGUGUGCUCAAUGUUGCACUUCCUCUGUUGGAUCACAGAUCUUCUGAGAAAUAUCUUCCAUACGUGAUAGUCAUAAAAACCAAGUAUCACAAUAAAAUGAACACACUAGACCUUUAAUUUCUGCCACAUAAAGCAGGAAGCCAAAAAUGUAUUCAAAUGAUGAAGAAUUUUAUCACCUCACAAUGAUAAACUGUUACUAAUAAUAAUUUAUUGAGCCCUUUAAUACAUAUUUUUCUUUGAUUAAUAUAGUUUAAUUAUUUAAAUAUUACUAAUUAAUUGUUAUUAUAUAUUUUAUACAGUGUCUAGUUUGGUAAAUAGUUUUUAGUGUACCUAAUACCUAGUUCCAUAUUACAUAUGUGUGUAUGUUGUUUGUGUGUACAUCUGUGUAUGUAAAGAGAGGGAGAUAACUAAAAAAUUAUGCAGGAAUGCCCCUGGGUCACAUCCAUGAGAUCCAGAAUAACUGGACAUAGCUUUUGAACCACAACUUGAAACAGGGGCCCUGAGGCUGGCUCAUGUCUAUAUCCAUAGUGUUAAGCACAAAGCCUGGCUAUAUUGAAUAAAUGAUAAAGGAAUGAACAUUUCAUGGUGGCCAGAGGUUUGAAUUGUUCUCAUAUGAAAAUAAUAAUUCAUGAGUUCUUUCAAAAAAUGUUUUAAUCCAAGCAUAUCUACACAGAGCAGUGAAAUAAAAUUGCAAAAUAUUUAUGCAUUAAAAAAAAAACAAAACUGUUAGACCUGAAAAACAGAGCCUGAUGUUUCUAUUACUAACCACUAGGUGGCAAUAGCUCUACAUUACUCUUCAUCUCACUUCUAGCAAUCUUUCCCUAGUGGUCUUGGAGUUAGCACAGAAUGUUAUCUCCUCAGAUAUUUGCCAAGAAAAGGCAUAUCUGUUUUAGGAACUCUGAUACUGGUAUUAUUGAUGCAAAUGUAUUUCUGUGCUUGUUUCCUGUUGCAUACAUCUAGGACUAUUACAACAGUUAUCCACUAAUUUGAUGAUCUUAGAGUUAUAAAUUAUUAUAGCAAAAUCAAUAAAGAAUUUAUUUUUAAGCCAUAGGAGUCCAUAAAGGUCUACAUAUGGAAAAUUUAAGAUAAUUGCUGUGCUUUUAUAUAUCAUUUUCUCUCUCCUUCUCCCUAUCCUCAUGGCCUUGGAAUUACAGAAUGAAGACAUGAACAUAGCUAUAAAUACAGAUAAAGAUGGCAGAAGUGAGAGGUCUACUCUUGCUUCUUUUCCUAGCUAUUUCUCUGUAUUCACAAAUAAGCCACCUAACUGUGACUGAGACCUGUCCAGUUUCUCUUUCACGGAACAUAUAUACAAAGAGCAUCUGCAAAAUGCAUGGAGAUUUUGGACAGAAAAUGACAGAAUUGGAGACAGGAUAACGUCCAGGCAGUAUGAAAUGCUUUUCAGCUCCAAUUCCUUGGGAGAAUGAUGCAGUGAAAUUUUCUUUGAAAUAGGAACAAAAUUUAAAUCAGAGCUUUCAUAGAGCUGUUUUGUUUUAAUUUAUUCAUGUAGCCACAACAGGAUAGUAGCAAGAAACUAUACCCAAAGUUCAGGAAUUGAACUAACUAGUAUUGUCUAAAGCCUUUAUAGAUGAUACCUAGAUCUUUUAAGAUGUCUCUUUCUAUGACUUCAUCAACUAUUAGCUCCAAAUGGCUCAGAAGUUAGAAAAUUAAACAAGAUAAAUUUUUUUAUUUUUAUUUAUUUAUUUAUUUAUUGAAAUUUAUUGUCAAAUUGGUUUCCAUUCAACACCCAGUGCUCAUCCCAAAAGGUGCCCUCCUCAAUACCCAUCACCCACCCUCCCCUCCCUCCCACCCCCCAUCAACCCUCAGUUUGUUCUCAGUUUUUAAGAGUCUCUUAUGCUUUGGAUCUCUCCCACUCUAACCUCUUUCUUUUUUUUUUUUUCCUUCCCCUCCCCCAUGGGUUUCUGUUAAGUUUCUCAAGAUCCACAUAAGAGUGAAAACAUAUGGUAUCUGUCUUUCUCUGUAUGGCUUAUUUCACUUAGCAUAACACUCUCCAGUUCCAUCCACGUUGCUACAAAGGGCUAUAUUUCAUUCUUUCUCAUUGCUGCGUACUACUCCAUCGUGUAUAUAAACCACAAUUUAUCCAUUCAUCAGUUGAUGGACAUUUAGGCUCUUUCCAUAAUUUGGAUAUUUUUGAGAGUGCUGCUAUAAACAUUGGGGAACAAGUGCCCCUAUGCAUCAGUACUCCUGUAUCCCUGAAAAUUAUUUUUAAAAACUGACCAAAUCAAUUAGAAUCAAUUUGGUAUCUCCAAAAGAUCAUUCAUUCAUUCAUUCAUUCAACAAGCUCACAUAGUGUCCAGCACUGUGUUCUCACAUAAUGGUGUCCAGAGCUGGAAGGAAGAAAAAGGCAAAGGGGUCUUCAUAUGCACCUGUUUUUUAUUUUUUCAGAUGUUAAUAACUUUUCUGAGUAUCUCCUGGCUCACUUUUCUCACAUCUCUUUGUCCAGAACUAAGUUUCAUCCCUCUUCUAGGCCAGCCCCUGGGAGGUAUAUGGGGUUCUAUGACUCAAUUAGGACAAUCAUGAGCCAUCCUUAGACAAGUCUGGGUAUAGUAUCACCUGAAAUGGAUUGCUGAUAAAUUUUAGAGGUAGGAUACAGUACAUAGGCAGCACAGGAUAUGACUUUUUAAAGAGAGAGGCUGGUGAGUUUGAAGAACUAGCAGGUCAAGGACCAAUGUUUCUGCAGCCCUGAAUGACAUAGUAUUGGAAUGAAUGAGAAGGUUCAAAUAUAUGAGAAAUGGGCUAAGGCAGAGUGCAUCUCAAGAAUGAGACUGUGGAGAGACUGGAAGUCUGCAGCAUGGGAUGACCCACCAAGACCACAGUGUGUCCAGAAUCAUGAAAGGGGAUCUAUCUCCCUGUGCCUUUGUUAGGGAUGAGAUUGGUAUUUUGUCAGCAGUGAUUAGAAGAGAAAUUCUUCUCUGAUUCAUAGGGCAUUUAGUCUCAAGCACUGGAUGGGGAGUUUGUAUUUGAAACCUUCUUCUGAGAUGAUUCAGGCUAUCCUUGAGCAGUGUUGAGCUUGUAUGCACCACUGUGAGAGGGUGUGCCAGUGUCCAGUGUGCUUGCAGAAUUUAUCCAGGGAGUGUCAUUUGUGGCUCCAUCACUAGGUGAAGAUCAGUGUAUCCGCUACAGUGGACCAAGAAGGGCCAGAAUGCCUGGAGUACUUACUGUUGACAGGGAGGUUCCAGUAUGUCUGGUUCACUUAGAGCAUUGGGAGACUCCUGGACAUGUUCCACUGACUGGAGGGGUAGUCAGAAGCCUAGGUCUUGAAAGAUUCUUGGUAUUUUCCAAUACUGGAGACAAGAGUGGGAAAUUUGAAGAACUGUUGGGCCAUAAAUUCUAUGUGGCUGCACCAAUGACUAUGCAAACAGCUGAUAUACAUCAGAAGCCCUGGAUGAUAAGUUACCUGUAUGUUUACAACAAAACACACACACAAAAAAAAAACAAAACCCAAAAAAGCAAUACACAAAAACUAUGGGUUUAAUAUGGUUGUGUAAGGGACAGAUGUUAUAAAGUGAAGGAUAAAUUAUAUUCUAUUUAUUGUGUUUGGUCUGUAUGACUGAAUGAAUUAUCCUUUAUCAAGUGUGCAUCACCAGUACCCCCUUUAAAUUUGUCCUCUUCAUUUUU